rnacentral:rRNA from 1 species
CAAAUCCCACGCUGCCGAGAAAAGCUUCUAACGUUAAGGUAUAACUGCCCGUACCCGAAACCGACACAGGUGGUCAGGAUGAGAAAUCUAAGGCGGACAGGCUAACUCUCGUUAAGGAACUCUGCAAAAUAGCCCCGUAACUUUGGGAGAAGGGGUGCCCCUGAAUGUUAAUAUACACGCGAUAUGAAGCAUUUGGGGGUCGCAGUGAAGAGGCUCAAGCAACUGUUUAACAAAAACACAGGUCUAUGCUAAGCUGUAAGGCGAUGUAUAUGGGCUGACACCUGCCCAGUGCCGGAAGGUUAAGAGGAGGAGUGAGAGCUCCGAAUUGAAGCCCCGGU